GAUGAACGCUGGCGGCGUGCUUAACACAUGCAAGUCGAACGGAAAGGCUCCUGCUUGCAGGGGUACUCGAGUGGCGAACGGGUGAGUAACACGUGGGUGAUCUGCCCUGCACUUCGGGAUAAGCCUGGGAAGCUGGGUCUAAUACCGGAUAGGACGAUGGUUUGGAUGCCAUUGUGGAAAGUUUUUCGGUGUGGGAUGAGCUCGCGGCCUAUCAGCUUGUUGGUGGGGUAAUGGCCUACCAAGGCGUCGACGGGUAGCCGGCCUGAGAGGGUGUACGGCCACAUUGGGACUGAGAUACGGCCCAGACUGCUACGGGAGGCAGCAGUGGGGAAUAUUGCACAAUGGGCGCAAGCCUGAUGCAGCGACGCCGCGUGGGGGAUGACGGCCUUCGGGUUGUAAACUCCUUUCGCUAGGGACGAAGCGAAAGUGACGGUACCUGGAGAAGAAGCACUGGCUAACUACGU
rnacentral:rRNA from 1 species